UGGGUAACCUGCCUCAAAGAGGGGAAUAGCCUCCCGAAAGGGAGAUUAAUACCGCAUAAUAUGUUUUAAUCGCAUGAUUUUAAUAUCAAAGGAUUUUUCUUCGGAACUUCCACUUUGAGAUGGACCCGCGGCGCAUUAGCUAGUUGGUGAGGUAACGGCUCACCAAGGCAACGAUGCGUAGCCGACCUGAGAGGGUGAUCGGCCACAUUGGAACUGAGACACGGUCCAGACCUCCGUAGGGACG
rnacentral:rRNA from 1 species